rnacentral:hammerhead_ribozyme from 1 species
ACCCAGAUAAAGAGUCCCAAAUAGGACGAAAUGCGCAUCCUGGAU